GACGAACGCUGGCGGCGUGCUUAACACAUGCAAGUCGAACGGAAAGGCCCUGCUUUUGUGGGGUGCUCGAGUGGCGAACGGGUGAGUAACACGUGAGUAACCUGCCCUUGACUUUGGGAUAACUUCAGGAAACUGGGGCUAAUACCGGAUAGGAGCUCCUGCUGCAUGGUGGGGGUUGGAAAGUUUCGGCGGUUGGGGAUGGACUCGCGGCUUAUCAGCUUGUUGGUGGGGUAGUGGCUUACCAAGGCUUUGACGGGUAGCCGGCCUGAGAGGGUGACCGGCCACCUUGGGACUGAGGUACGGCCCAGACUCCUACGGGAGGCAGCAGUGGGGAAUAUUGCACAAUGGGCGGAAGCCUGAUGCAGCAACGCCGCGUGCGGGAUGACGGCCUUCGGGUUGUAAACCGCUUUCGCCUGUGACGAAGCGUGCGUGACGGUAAUGGGUAAAGAAGCACCGGCUAACUACGUG
rnacentral:rRNA from 1 species